CUUUGACUCACGAGCCUCGCUCGACCACUUCCCCUGUGCCGCAGAACGUGGUGCUCCUGGGAGACACGUUCCCACAUGCUCUUCUUCCAAAUGGAAUUAUAAUCACAGAGGGAGGAAAAGGCUCCGUUACUUGGUUCUAACGUUUCCCUGGAGAAUUCAGUUUAGAACUCCCUGUGCGUCGAGAGAAGACACUUCCCUGACCCUUACAAGUUGCUCCAGGCUGGUAACCUCUUCAAAGCCCCGGGUAACAGGGGACCCUGCAUCACCGGGUGGGGAGGUCUUAAAGGUUAACCUGGUACAUUAGAGCCAACCAGAAGACAGCACAGGAAGCUCAGAGUUGUGAAGGGCUAAUCCUGGUGACACUGCCCAGAGCCUGGGGUAGCUCGGUGGUACUUCGCUCCACACAAUCCUGGACUCAACAGGGUGAGGAAAACAUCAGGUAUGCUGGUUCUGUGUCGGAACACGUUCCUGCCUUCUUCCGUCCCUGCCUGCCUUCUCAGGAAUAUGCAUGCUGGAAUCAGACGACCUCACCUAAGCACUGAAACAAUCUUCGCCAUUGAUGUCAUCUUGAGCAAGAUGCCUGAGUGACUCUCGGAACCUGGCUUUCCUCACUGGUGAAACAACAAAAGCCCACACCAUGGACGAGACCCUCUCCUGCCUAACAGUGACCAGGCAGCUAGGAGCUGUGGGGGAACUCGAUGAGCCUGCCUGGAGCAGCAUUCCUUGUGGCUAAGUCUGGCCAGGACUGCAGCCUCUGGCCAGUGAGGUGUAAUCUAAGUGCAGUGCAGGGUUGCUAAGAAUGUGGAUAAAGGAGACAUUACCAAGGUGGCACUUUAA